GGGGGUGCAGCACCAAUGCGGUGGGCUGUCGUCGACCAUUGACCAAGCCCGCACCUCAUAUCUGCUUCAGGAGCGGCUAUCGGGGUGCCGGGUUAGGCUUGGCACAAGAAUGAACCCCAGCGUGGAUCGCGCCAAGGAACAGUAACAUAGGGUGAGUUGCCUUGCUGCCUGAAGCCUGGUGAGUGAGGUGGUGACCUAUCAUAUCUGAAUGACUCUUGGCAAUGGAUAUCUCAGCUCUUGCAUCGAUGAAGAACGUAGCUAAAUGUGAUACUUGGUGUGAAUUGCAGAAUGCCAUGAACCAUCGAGUCUUUCAACACAAGUUGCGCUCGAAGCCUCUAGGCUGAGGGCACAUCUACUUGGGCAUCAUGUAUAGCAUCAACCCCAACCAAGCCAUUGUGUCUCUGCGUGCUAGGUUGGGGCGGAGAGUGGCCUCGCGUGCGUUGUUAAGCGGUUGCCCUAAAAUUGGAGCUCGACGACUGCGCCACGACAUUCGGUGGUCGACAAGGCGAAGGCCAAGGUUGCAUCACGUCUUGCUCGACACGUCACCCAUGAAGCUCGCAUGAAACGACGUCCGUACGGCACCAAUGCGGCGACCCUAGGUAGCUGGAGAUACUCACUGAGUUCAAGCAUAUCAAUAAGCGGAGGAAA
rnacentral:rRNA from 1 species